rnacentral:rRNA from 1 species
GAUGAACGCUAGCGGCAGGCCUAAUACAUGCAAGUCGAACGGUGUAGCAAUACAUAGUGGCGCACGGGUGCGUAACACGUAUGCAACCUACCUUAUACUGAGGGAUAGCCUUUGGAAACGGAGAUUAAUACCUCAUGGUACAGUUGACUUGGCAUCGAGUUACUGUUAAAGAUUUAUUGGUAUAAGAUGGGCAUGCGUCCAAUUAGUUAGUUGGUGAGGUAAUGGCUCACCAAGACGAUGAUUGGUAGGGGAACUGAGAGGUUAAUCCCCCACACUGGCACUGAGAUACGGGCCAGACUCCUACGGGAGGCAGCAGUAGGGAAUAUUGGGCAAUGGAGGCAACUCUGACCCAGCCAUGCCGCGUGCAGGAUGAAGGCGUUAUGCGUUGUAAACUGCUUUUAUAUAGGAAGAAAUAGACCUUGCGAGGUAAGUUGACGGUACUAUAUGAAUAAGCACCGGCUAACUCCGU